GAUGAACGCUGGCGGCGUGCCUAAUACAUGCAAGUCGAGCGAACAGAUGAGGAGCUUGCUCCUUUGACGUUAGCGGCGGACGGGUGAGUAACACGUGGAUAACCUACCUAUAAGACUGGGAUAACUUCGGGAAACCGGAGCUAAUACCGGAUAACAUAUAGAACCGCAUGGUUCUAUAGUGAAAGAUGGUUUUGCUGUCACUUAUAGAUGGAUCCGCGCCGCAUUAGCUAGUUGGUAAGGUAACGGCUUACCAAGGCAACGAUGCGUAGCCGACCUGAGAGGGUGAUCGGCCACACUGGAACUGAGACACGGUCCAGACUCCUACGGGAGGCAGCAGUAGGGAAUCUUCCGCAAUGGGCGAAAGCCUGACGGAGCAACGCCGCGUGAGUGAUGAAGGUCUUCGGAUCGUAAAACUCUGUUAUUAGGGAAGAACAAAUGUGUAAGUAACUAUGCACGUCUUGACGGUACCUAAUCAGAAAGCCACGGCUAACUACGUG
rnacentral:rRNA from 1 species